UACGUAGGGUGCAAGCGUUAAUCGGAAUUACUGGGCGUAAAGCGUGCGCAGGCGGCUUUGCAAGACAGAUGUGAAAUCCCCGGGCUUAACCUGGGAACUGCAUUUGUGACUGCAUGGCUGGAGUGCGGCAGAGGGGGAUGGAAUUCCGCGUGUAGCAGUGAAAUGCGUAGAUAUGCGGAGGAACACCGAUGGCGAAGGCAAUCCCCUGGGCCUGCACUGACGCUCAUGCCCGAAAGCGUGGGGAGCAAACAGG
rnacentral:rRNA from 1 species